CUUGAUGGAUCCCAGCCACAGCGGCCGGUCCUCCGGCCGGUCCUGGCCGUAGGAGGCGAUCAGCGCCUGCGCCUC
rnacentral:antisense_RNA from 1 species